rnacentral:rRNA from 1 species
AAUCACUUGUCUCUUAAAUGGAGACCUGUAUGAAUGGCAUAACGAGGGCUUAACUGUCUCCUCUUUCGAGUCAAUGAAGUUGAUCUCCCCGUGCAGAAGCGGGGAUAUUUACAUAAGACGAGAAGACCCUAUGGAGCUUGAGACGAUAGGGCAGCCCAUGUUAAACACCCUUAUUAACGGACUAAACUAAAUGGCCCCUGCUUUAAUGUCUUCGGUUGGGGCGACCCUGGGGAAUACAAAACCCCCACGUGGGAAUAGGAGCACCCCCCCCCUUAACUCCUCGAAGCAAGAGCCACACCUCCAGUUAACAGAACUUUUGACCAAAAAUGAUCCGGCAAUGCCGAUCAACGGACCAAGUUACCCUAGGGAUAACAGCGCAAUCCCCUUUUAGAGCCCCUAUCGACAAGGGGGUUUACGACCUCGAUGUUGGAUCAGGACAUCCUAAUGGUGCAGCCGCUAUUAAGGGUUCGUUUGUUC